CCUACGGGAGGCUGCAGUGGGGAAUAUUGCACAAUGGGGGAAACCCUGAUGCAGCGACGCCGCGUGAGUGAAGAAGUAAUUCGUUAUGUAAAGCUCUAUCAGCAGGGAAGAAAAUGACGGUACCUGAGUAAGAAGCCCCGGCUAACUACGUGCCAGCAGCCGCGGUAAGACGUAGGGGGCAAGCGUUAUCCGGAUUUACUGGGUGUAAAGGGAGCGUAGACGGCAGUGCAAGUCUGGCGUGAAAGGCGGGGGCUCAACCCCCGGACUGCUCUGGAAACUGUACGGCUGGAGUGCAGGAGAGGUAAGUGGAAUUCCUAGUGUAGCGGUGAAAUGCGUAGAUAUUAGGAGGAACACCAGUGGCGAAGGCGGCUUACUGGACUGUAACUGACGUUGAGGCUCGAAAGCGUGGGGAGCAAACAGGAUUAGAUACCCCAGUAGUC
rnacentral:rRNA from 1 species